AGUGAACGCUGGCGGUAGGCCUAACACAUGCAAGUCGAACGGCAGCACAGUAAGAGCUUGCUCUUACGGGUGGCGAGUGGCGGACGGGUGAGGAAUACAUCGGAAUCUACUUUUUCGUGGGGGAUAACGUAGGGAAACUUAAGCUAAUACCGCAUACGACCUACGGGUGAAAGCAGGGGAACUUCGCACCUUGCGCGGUUGAAUGAGCCGAUGUCGGAUUAGCUAGUUGGCGGGGUAAAGGCCCACCAAGUCGACGAUCCGUAGCUGGUCUGAGAGGAUGGUCGGCCACACUGGAACGGAGCCACGGUCCAGACUCCUACGGGAGGCAGCAGUGGGGAAUAUUGGGCAAUGGGCGCAAGCCUGACCCAGCCAUACCGCGUGUGUGAAGAAGGCCUUCGGGUUGUAAAGCCCUUUUGUUGGGAAAGAAAAGCAGCAGGUUAAUACGCCGCUGUUCUGACGGUACCCAAUGAAUAAGCACCGGCUAACUUCGUG
rnacentral:rRNA from 1 species